rnacentral:tRNA from 1 species
GGGGUUGUGGCUCAGUGGUAGAGCGUUCACCUAACCUGUGAGGCACUGGGUUCAAUCCUCAGUACCACA